CUGCCGGGGUCUUCGCCACCAGUCUAUAGGCUGAUAAAAAUAGCCUGCCCAACCUCUGUUUUGCUCUUGCUUUCAUGGGCCUGGCCUGCUUCCCCCACGGGAGCCGCGGCUGGCAGCCUGCCCGGCGACGUUGGUGUCAGAGCAGAAGUUCGAGGCUGCUCACGAGUGGCGUCACCUCGCCUGGGAGCUGCGUCCUCUGAAGCCACAAGGGGACCAGGGACCCCGAGGGCAGGGACAACAUGCCGGAGAGAGAUCAGAAGGAGUGAGAGUGAUAUUGAUGUGAAGAGGAAUUGAUUAGCUGCCUCCAGUAUGCACCUGGACUGGGGAUUGAACCUGCAACCUAGGCCUGGGCCUCAUGUCCCAACCUGCAGCCGGCAGCGCGCCCACCCCCACGUGACGCCCGGCCAGUACAUUUCUCCACUCAGCUGAUGGUGAGUGCCGGGCUAUUUUAAGCCCACAUGGAAGUAUUUUUUUUUUAAUAAGGACCAUCUGCUACUGGCCCCAGCCCAGAGGAUACAGUUAGAACCUACCCACAGCAUCCUCUCUGUCUUCAGAGAGUUCCAGGAACAAGGGUGAAUCAGUCUUCCAGCUGAACUCCCCGCCUGCUCCCCAAGAGGAGAAGGGGCCCCAGCGCCAGCAGAGGGGACCGCUCACGCCCUGGGGCAGGUGCCCGGCGCUGCCCCUCAGAGACAGGAAGGGGACGGCACCGGACACUGGAGCUUCUACUACCGCUUGGCAGGAAGCGCAUCAGAGAGGGGAGCCACCAGCAGGACGCCCCCCUCUGGGCGCCCCUGCAAGAUCCUUGGGUCUGCCUCGGGGUGCAAGGAGGGGGUUCCCCUCUCAUGGGGUGGCUUGGCCUGCCAUCCGGCCGGGGCCACAGGAGGAUGUCACCAAAUGCUGACCACAGCACUCAGCUCUUGGCUCUGCUCACCUCCCCGUCUCUCCUCCCCACCCUUGACCCCCCACUCACGGGCCACUCCCUGUGAACAGAGGCUGUGUGUCUUGGGGUCCGGCACAGACGAUGGUCAGAGCCUGAGCUCUGCCCCCAAGGAGCUCUGCGGCCCCGGGCAGGGGCCUGAGCCUCCAUUUGCUCAUCCGUAAAACUGGGAUCACCCGCACUGGCCGGUGUGGCUCAGUGGGUCAAGUGCCAGCCUGUGAACUACAAGGUUUCAGGUUCGAUUCCCAGUCGGGGCACAUGCCUGGGUUGUGGGUCAGGUUCCCAGUGUGGGGGCCUGUGAGAGGCAACCAAUCAAUGUUUCUCUUUCUUCCUUCUUUCCUCUCUCUCUAAAAAUACAUACAUAAAGCAAAAAAAAAAAAAUGGGGAUAAUCUGACAUACGUUCUAGGGUGUCUGUGAACAUGCCAGGGGCUGAGGGCCGGCCCCUCGGACUGGCCGAAAAGGGGUCAGAGUGUUGGAGACGCUGGGCCAGGCCCUGGGAAAGGCAGCACCUCCCGCCUGGGCUGCUCAGCGCUCCCUCCCCGCCACCCCCAGGACUGGUCACUUUUGCGGGGGGGGGGGGGCACCAGUUAAAGGGACGUAUCUAAGAAAAGGAAGAUCAAAAAUAUGAACAGCAAAAUGACAACAAACUCACAACUAUCGUCGACAUACGAACCAAAAAGAAAAGAAAAACAACAAAAACUAAACAAACAGCCAGAAUAGGAAUAGAAUCAGAGAAAUGGACAUCACAUGGAGGAAUGUCAGUGGG